rnacentral:rRNA from 1 species
AUUGAACGCUGGCGGAAUGCUUUACACAUGCAAGUCGAACGGUAGAGGGGGCAACCCCUUGAGAGUGGCGAACGGGUGAGUAAUAUAUCGGAACGUGCCCAGUCGUGGGGAUAACGUAGCGAAAGUUACGCUAAUACCGCAUACGAUCUAAGGAUGAAAGCGGGGGAUCGCAAGACCUCGCGCGAUUGGAGCGGCCGAUAUCAGAUUAGGUAGUUGGUGAGGUAAAGGCUCACCAAGCCAACGAUCUGUAGCUGGUCUGAGAGGACGACCAGCCAC